CUGCGAAAGCCGGAUUAAUACCGCAUACGCUCUGCGGAGGAAAGCGGGGGAUCCUUCGGGACCUCGCGCUACAGGGGCGGCCGAUGGCAGAUUAGCUAGUUGGUGGGGUAAAGGCCUACCAAGGCGACGAUCUGUAGCUGGUCUGAGAGGACGACCAGCCACACUGGGACUGAGACACGGCCCAGACUCCUACGGGAGGCAGCAGUGGGGAAUUUUGGACAAUGGGCGCAAGCCUGAUCCAGCAAUGCCGCGUGUGUGAAGAAGGCCUUCGGGUUGUAAAGCACUUUUGUCCGGAAAGAAAACCUCGUGGUUAAUACCCGUGGGGGAUGACGGUACCGGAAGAAUAAGCACCGGCUAACUACGUGCCAGCAGCCGCGGUAAUACGUAGGGUGCAAGCGUUAAUCGGAAUUACUGGGCGUAAAGCGUGCGCAGGCGGUUCGCUAAGACAGAUGUGAAAUCCCCGGGCUUAACCUGGGAACUGCAUUUGUGACUGGCGGGCUAGAGUAUGGCA
rnacentral:rRNA from 1 species